CACCUCCACCACCGUCUCCUCCGCCUCCUUCAUCACUUCCUGGGACACGUUUACUUGCUCCACCGCCAGGAUCACUGCCUCCCCUUUCUAACGAGAUGGGUGCGCCGCAGCCGCAACGUUACCUGGGUCACCACCACCACCACCAUGUGCACGCACCGCCGCCGCCACCCAAGAUGAAUGCGGGGAAAAAGGUUGGACUUUUGUUUGCUGGCAUUGCGGCAAUUAUGCAAGUUGGCAUGGUUGGGUACUUAGUAGUAAAGAGAAGACAACUUUUGAAUAGCGAUGAGGACAGAUACGAGAGUUGUUCUUGAAAUAGAUUCUUAUCAAUUCAUUUUAAUUUAUAAAUUUAAUGGAUUGAAAUUCUUUGUUGAACGCGUAAUGGUUGGGAGAAGGGGAAUAUUGUUUGGAUUUUACAGAAUCUGAUGGAAGGAACAUGAAAAGGCAAGCACGUAAAGACACCAAUGAUUUUAGAAAUUAUUGGAAAAUGAAUUGUGUGCAAUUGAUGCCAUCAUUUCAGCCCUUGGCGUUACUGUGUAUAUUGGUACUGCUAGUUCACGUUUCAUGCUGUGUUGCCCCUUUUUCCCUUAGUUCCAUUACAUUGGCUUAUAAUGGAAAGAAAAAGUAGCCCUCAUGUACCUUUUUUAAAUUUUUUUCUUCUAAUUUGAUCUUUUUUUUCUAACAUGUUCAGUGUACAAUGAUGCUAGGAAUCUUUAAAGAAUUAACAAUGACAAUCUUAUAUUCUUUGUUUUUCCUCCUCCACUCAGUGUCUGAUUGUUCGAUGUUGUUGUAUUCUAUUGUCCUUGUGUCUAGAGUUUCUCUAGUACUAUAUUAUAUUAAAACUGUUGUGAUUUGUAAUUAUGUUCCAACUUCAAAUGGAAAUAUGGAAUAUUUGGCACACCCUUAAACGACCACCCUUUUUCUUCUUUUUCUUGAUAGAAAUGACGUUCUGCUUUGCCAUCUAAAGUAAAAUUAACUGCUCACUGGCUUUUAAAGUAGACUUUGUAUCAUGUUUUUGGGUUUGACAUCUUGAAUGUGAUUUUAAGAAGUUAACAGUUGUAGCUUCUACGUUCCAAACUUGAUUUCUAACAGUACUUCCAAGCAUGUUAUCAAUUGAACCUUAAUUUGGUUGAAAUCUCCCAAUGUAGUAUUAUAUGUCUCGAGAUUGUUCACUAUAUGAUUUUAGAAUUGUGCCUUUGGAGGAUGCCCUUUGUAGGGAUAACCUGUCUAAACAAUGUACAUGAUGCUGUUUAACUAGGGAUAACCUCUGCUAGACAUUAUAUGGUAUGCUGCAAUUAGAUUCUACAUAACAAGCAAAAAUUUGCAAGUUAAUCAUUUAUAACAUCUCUGGUAGUUUGUCUAUCGACAUUUUUUGAUAGACCUUUGUGACAUUGUUUUAUUCCCUACUAUAGUUAAUAGGAAAAGGUUUGGAGGUUCUUGUAACGAAGAAUUUUAUAUGGUAAUGGGUGAUUUUAAUGAAUGCCAUCAUUUACUACAUCUUGUAUGUUCUUGGAAGUAGCUGACAGUAUUAUGUUUAUACGAUUCUUCUCCAUUACACUUACAGGUCUUAAUAAAUCAACCUCAUUAAGGGAAACAUGGUAGAUUUAGAAGCUUUCAAAAUGUAUAUGACUAACUUGCAUACAUAAAUUUACUUGCAAUGAAGCGUCUAUAAUAGCAACAUUCUGAUAUUGUUAAACCGUGAGACAUGAUCGAUUGUUGAUUGCUGAUGGCACAUUAAAACUGCCUGAGUAUUUUUUGUUCAUGUGUUGUCACAAAUGAUCAUCCUCAAUAAACUUGCAAACUGCGGUUCACCCCUUUGGAUUGGUUCAAUUUUUGUGAAGAACGAUCUCAAUAAACUUUUAUUGUAGAAUUAUUGAUUGUACUGAUGAUUGAUAUGGGUGUACACAGUCUCUCUAAAGCAGAAUAUUCAAGUCACAUCCCAUCAGUACAACACUAAGAGGAUCUGAAAUUUUCAGCAAGUAUGAGAUUUGUCUCGCUGGAUUUACUUCGUGGGAGAGCUCUCAUACAUGGUAAUAUCCUUUGCCAACAGGUAGAUUGUUCAUAUCCUAUUAUUCUUCCAAUUCAAAUAUUAAGUGUCUGUUUGAUAAACUUUUUCAGAAGCAUUUUUAAAAGAAGAAAAUAUGAAAGAAAAAAUAAAUAAACUUCAGCUUUAAGUUAAAAUUUGUUCACGGAUAAGUUAAUUUGAAUAAGUUAUCUCGUAUUAGCUAAUCCAAAAUCAGAUUCUUAACUUAUGUAUUAGUUAGUUUUAGCUUGUGAAGAGGUUUCUAAAAACACUUCAAAGAGAGAAAAGGAUGAAAUAGACUUCUUCACAAGCUAAAAGUUAUCUUGCGGAUGAUAUCUUGUGCCGACUAGAUCAACAAUCAAUGGUAGCUUUUUAAUGAAGUAGAAAAUGCUUAUAUACAUGAAAAGAAUUUGAGAAUGCUUAUAUAUAUAUAUAUAUAUAUAUAUAUAUAUAUAUAUAUAUAUAUAUAUAUAUAUAUAUAUAUAUAUAUCAUUAAUUUCAUUCCUUGUUCAUUUACAGAAUUAGGAAAAGUUGCAACCUUUUCUAGAUAAUGUUGUUGACAUCAGUUUACCCUUUUAACUGCUAAGUUUUUAUUCUAUUAAUGUGCGUUAAAUUUAGUAACUUCACUUUAAUAAAUAUUUUAUCAUCCUUCUAAAGCAUUGCUUCAAAUUACUACUUGAAUAGUUCUUCAUUCAAUUAUUGAUCCAUCAAUAUAGUAUCUUGACUCCAAUAAAACAAUUUAUCACUCUUCUGAAACAUUGCCUCAACUUGCUAUGAAUGUUUUCAUUCAAUUAAUGAUCCAUUAAUAUAGUUUGACUCGAAUAAAUAAUUUAUAGUUCUUCUAAAACAUUGAUUGCCUCAUUAUUUCUGCAGGUCAGAGAUACUCACUGCACAAUGAUAAAGCUUAUGUUUGCAUUUCACUCAAAUUAUAUACAUUGAAAUGUGUAAUCAAACAUGCGAAAAUUGUAGCACUAUGUUUCAUUGUAAUAAUGUUCUGCUAUCAUUUUUCUUUAAACAUUUUGAAUUUAUCUAUAAACACUUCAC
rnacentral:lncRNA from 1 species